GCAUAUCAAUAAGCGGAGGAAAAGAAACUAACAAGGAUUCCCCUAGUAACGGCGAGUGAAGCGGGAAGAGCUCAAAUUUAAAAUCUGGCUUGCUUGCAAGUCCGAGUUGUAGUCUGAAGAAGCGUUUUCCAUGAAAGCUGAGGCACAAGUCCUUUGGAACAGGGCAUCAUAGAGGGUGAGAAUCCCGUCCAUGGUCUCAUGCAUUUCAUUUUGUGAUACGUUUUCUAAGAGUCAGGUUGUUUGGGAAUGCAGCCUAAAAUGGGUGGUAAAUUUCAUCUAAAGCUAAAUAUUGGCGAGAGACCGAUAGCGAACAAGUACCGUGAGGGAAAGAUGAAAAGAACUUUGAAAAGAGAGUUAAAAAGUACGUGAAAUUGUUGAAAGGGAACCGU
rnacentral:rRNA from 1 species